CCACAUAGCAAUAAGAAGCAUAUUCAUAUCUAUAGCAUAUACCCAGAAUCUGAUUGAACGAAUAUUCUUAUUUUCAUAUUCUUAGCAUGUUCUACCAAGAUAUAGUUAUGUACCACCUAUAUUCUUAGACGUAUGUUCCCGUGCAUUUAUUCAUAACAUAUGCUAAGAAUAUUUCGCCAUAUUCUUAUAAAAUACUUUAUAGGAUAUACUUCAGACGAUGUGCGUAGCAUAUGCUUAUGAUAUACCGGGAUAUAUUAUACAAAACAACAUGACAACAGCGCCACCUGGUGCUACUGCCUCAGCCGGUAGUGCGGCCAGCCGGUAUUUUUGACAUUUUUGACGCCAUCGGUGUCAUAGACUAAUGAUCGAACGAAUAUCGGUGUUUAUUUUUUAUUUUCCGUUUCGUUCUCUGUUCUUUUGUUCGAGAAAUUUUUAUUAUCGUAUACGAGAAUACGAGGCCUGUAGUUCCGUAGUCAAAAUCGUGUAUAAAAAUAGUGUAUACCGUGAGGGUUUACUGUGGCAAUGUACAUAAAUGAGGAUUGAGGGUUAGGUUUAGGAACAUUAAAUUCCAAAGAAACAUUAAGCAGGGGUAUUCUUCAGAAGACUCUGAGUUUUAUUGAAAUUUCAAUAAAGAAGACUGUCUUGUGUGUGCUAAGGAUCUAGGUAUUAGUGUAGUUUUAGUUAUUGUGUUUAAGUUAAGUUUGAAGAGGUAUCACGUAAAAUGUCAACAAAAAACAACCAAAAAGUAAACGUUCACUUAGACGCAUAGUGACCAAAAAAACUGAAACAGAACUUUUGCUGACUUCAGAUGACACUCUAUGACCCUAUCCUGAGUUAUAAUUGAUGCAGUGAGAUGUAAUAAAAGAACCUCAAAUGCGUGUGAUAAUGUAUAAAAUAUGUUGCAUUAUGUGAUUUUUAUUGAAUAAAUUUUAUAAGCAUA